rnacentral:lncRNA from 1 species
GGUCUCCUGGGCAACGCACGCCACAUGACCGAACUUGCUGCCACCUUCGCACUGCUUCGCUGAUGGCGUCAUCGAGGGAGACUGCACAUUGCUUCUACUCGUGGAAUUCUGUUGCCUCACCGCGCCUGUCUUCCUUUGAUACCCGUGACAAGGAGAUGGAGCUGGCUUCUGCAGAUUGGUUCCAAUGUAUACGUCCUUGAGGUCUCCUGGGCAACCACGUCACAUGACCGAACUUACUGCCACCUUCUCACUGCUUCGCUGAUGGCGUCAUGGAGGGAGACUGCACAUUGCUGCUACUCGAGGAAUUCCGUUGCUUCCCAGAGUCCAUCGCUACCCGUGACAAAGACAUGAAGCUGGCUCCAGCAGACUGGUUACAAUGCCUACGUUCCUGAGGUCCUCGGGGCACCACUCGUCGUAUGUCCGAACUUAUGGCCACAUUUGCAUUGCUUUGCUGACGGCGACAUCCAGGGAGACGGGACAUGGUCACUACCUUUGCAGACGGUAGGAAAAGACUUCAUUAUUUGUA